GGGGAAUAUUGCACAAUGGGCGAAAGCCUGAUGCAGCAACGCCGCGUGAGCGAUGAAGGCCUUUGGGUCGUAAAGCUCUGUCCUUGGGGAAGAAACAAAUGACGGUACCCUUGGAGGAAGCCCCGGCUAACUACGUGCCAGCAGCCGCGGUAAUACGUAGGGGGCGAGCGUUAUCCGGAAUUAUUGGGCGUAAAGAGUGCGUAGGUGGCCAUGUAAGCGCGGGGUGAAAGGCAAUAGCUUAACUAUUGUAAGCCUUGCGAACUGUAUGGCUUGAGUGCAGGAGAGGAAAGUGGAAUUCCUAGUGUAGCGGUGAAAUGCGUAGAUAUUAGGAGGAACACCAGUGGCGAAGGCGACUUUCUGGACUGUAACUGACACUGAGGCACGAAAGCGUGGGGAGCAAACA
rnacentral:rRNA from 1 species